rnacentral:rRNA from 1 species
GCGCGUAAAUUGCCCGAAUCCUGACACAGGGAGGUAGUGACAAGAAAUAACAAUACAGGGCUCUUCGAGUCUUGUAAUUGGAAUGAGUACAAUUUACAUCUCUUCACGAGGAUCAAUUGGAGGGCAAGUCUGGUGCCAGCAGCCGCGGUAAUUCCAGCUCCAAUAGCGUAUACUAAAGUUGUUGCAGUUAAAACGCUCGUAGUCGGAUUUCGGGGCGGGCCCGCCGGUCUGCCGAUGGGUAUGCACUGGCGGGCGCGUCCUUCCUCCCGGAGACGGCUGCUACUCUUAACUGAGCGGUGGCCGGAGACGGGAUAUUUACUUUGAAAAAAUCAGAGCGUUUCAAGCAGGCAGUCGCUCUUGCAUGGAUUAGCAUGGGAUAAUGAAAUAGGACUCUGGUGCUAUUUUGUUGGUUUCGAGCACCGGAGUAAUGAUUAACAGGGACAGUCAGGGGCACUCGUAUUCC